GACGAACGCUGGCGGCGUGCUUAACACAUGCAAGUCGUACGGUAAGGCCCUUUCGGGGGUACACGAGUGGCGAACGGGUGAGUAACACGUGAGUAACCUGCCCACAACUUUGGGAUAACGCUAGGAAACUGGUGCUAAUACUGGAUAUGUGCUCCUGCUGCAUGGUGGGGGUUGGAAAGCUCCGGCGGUUGUGGAUGGACUCGCGGCCUAUCAGCUUGUUGGUGGGGUAGUGGCCUACCAAGGCGGCGACGGGUAGCCGGCCUGAGAGGGUGACCGGCCACAUUGGGACUAAGAUACGGCCCAGACUCCUACGGGUGGCAGCAGUGGGGAAUAUUGCACAAUGGGCGCAAGCCUGAUGCAGCAACGCCGCGUGCGGGAUGACGGCCUUCGGGUUGUAAACCGCUUUCAGCAGGGACGAAGCUUUUUGUGGCGGUACCUGCAGAAGAAGCACCGGCUAACUACGUG
rnacentral:rRNA from 1 species